AACUGAUACUACCUGCGGGAACCUGCGGAAGGAUCAUUACAAAAAUUUGUAAAAUGUACAGGAAUUCUCCUUACAUUUGGCAGACAGCGGGGCAACCCGCCGCUCUGUUUAACCCCUUGUGAAAACCCUCUGUUGCCUCGGCGGCUCAUCCUGCCGCGCGGCCAUGCGCUGCGCGGGGGGUGGUCAGUCCGCCGGCGGCACCCACCAAAAACCCAUAACCAAUUUUUGAAGAAGCUGUCU
rnacentral:misc_RNA from 1 species